GUUUCUGUUCCUAAGUGCUCCAAAAACUCUUAUUCGUUGAGUUUUUUUCCUCGAACAUCAGUUCUUUGGAAUUUGCUUCCUUCAUCUUGCUUACCUAACUCAUACACUGUAAAAUGAAUCGGUUUUAUAGUGGUUUUUUGAAAAACCCGUUGGUUUUUCGAAAACCGAAAACAUCCUACUGCUAUUCGUAUUCAUUUGUUUAUUGACGAAUUUGAAACUGUUAACCCUUUAGGUUCUGAAAAAGGCAAACAAAAACUUUGUGGUGUAUAUUACACUAUUGGAAAUUUACAUCCUCGUUAUCACUCAAUAACAUCUCAAAUACACCUUGUCAUCCUGUGUAGGUCUAAAAUACUGCAGUUUUUUUAUCUUAUGAUGUAUUAAAACCGCUCGUUGAUGAACUUAUACCUUUAAUGAGUUCUUAUGUGACUGUUAUUCAGGGAGAAACUAAACACAGUCUUCAUGUUUGUAUUGCCUCAGUAUCUGCAGACAAUUUAGAGGCCCAUUCGCUUGCUGGUUUUAGAUGCUGUUUCAGUUCUGGUAGAAUUUGUCGAUUUUGUUUAGUUGAUCAUAAAACCAUAUCUUUGAGAUACACAGAAGAUUCUUGUUCGUUAAGAACAAUUUCUAAUUAUAACACUCAUCUGCAAGCAGUUAAAAGUUAUUCUGCAAAUAAAGCAAUAUUUGGAAUAAAUAAAUCAUGCAGUUUCGACAGAUUGCCUUACUUUAAUGUUAUUGAAUCCUUUCCACCAGACUUACAUCAUGACAUUCUAGAGGGGAUAGUUCCGCUACUUCUGAAAUUGACAAUCCAAAAACUGAUUGAAAAUAAGAUCAUAAAUUUAAUCCAGUUAAAUUAUGAAAUAAAAACAUUUCCAUAUGGAUUUUAUGAUUCAAGAAAUGUCCCAUGUGAAAUACGUAACCAUUCGAUUUCUGCAAAUGGUCAUCUCUUUGGAAAAGGUUCAGAAAAUUGGUGUCUUUUUAGAAAUUUUUCAAUAAUUAUUAUUGAUUAUCUUUCUAUCCAUGGUGAUAAUAAAGUUUUUUUGCUGUUUCUUCAAAUAUGUGACAUUUUAUUUUCUUUUACAAUUAAAUGUGAUCAAAUUACAUAUUUAACAUACCUAAUUGGGAAUUUCUUGUAUAUGUUUAAUAUUGAAUAUCCUGACAAAAUGACUCCGAAAGUGCAUUAUCUUAUACAUUACCCAAGAAUGCUGUGUUUAUUUGGCCCUUUAAGACAUUUAUGGUGUAUGAGGUUUGAAUCUAAGCACAAUUAUUUUAAAAGGUUGUGCCACAUUAUCUCCAACUUCAAAAAUAUUACUUUUACAUUAUCAAAGCGACAUGAAAUGCAGAAUUAAACUCUUAUGAUUGUCUGCGAAACAAUGAAGAUGAGAAGAAUGGAGUUACAAUAUCAACUUUGUGUCUUCCAAAAAAUAUUUAAGAUGAACUAUUUGAUUAUUUUAUAUAUAUAAUAUUAGUGAAAUAUUUAAAGCUUUUAUAAAAAAUAUUUUAUGUAUAUAAUAUUAGUGAAAUAUUUAAAGCUACAAGUGUAUCUAUUAAUCAUGUAACUUAUCAUGUUAAGGACUAUCUUGUUUUAUCGGUUCAAGAUGAUGGAAUUCCUAUUUUUUUAUGCAUAUUGUAUCUGCUUAAACACUCUAAAAGGUGGUACUUUGUUGGAAAUAUUUGCACCUGCUCACAGUUUUUACACUAAUGUCAUUCAUUUUGCUUAACUGCAUUCUCCACAUUAUGCAUUCAACCUGUUGGAACUGAAGCUUCUCCUGAACCACUUGAUGGGUAUAUAACAUCAGUGGGAUGCCUAGUUAUCAAGUCAAGUGGGAAAUUGUUUGUAUUAAUACAAACAAUUUUUGUAAAUGGAUAUAUUGUUAGAUAUAUUGAAACUUACUCACUUUAAAAUUCCUUGAGUUGAAGUAAGGCGAAAUGACACCUUUAUAAUUACUCACUAGUAAUUAUAAAAUAAAAUAAAGGAAUUUUAAAAAACAUUUUUUAUUUAUUAUAUUUAAUAUAUUUAUUAAUAUAUGAUGAAUGUUUUUGUGUAUUAUACCCAUAUAUUCAAUAAAAAUAAGUUGUUCUUUAUUUCUUGCAUUUGUGGUUUUUUUUAUAAUAAAUAUUUCAGUCUUUCAUUAAAUGCAGUAUUUUUAUAAUUGCAAAUUAUUAAUUAAAUAUUUACAUUUUUGUAAACCUUUUUUUUUGUGUAUACAUUCUAGAGGAAGAUAUAAAUGAUACAGUUUUGCUGGACAUAUAUGACUAUACAUUAAAGGAGCUUAUUCCCAUUAUUAAAUUAAGAAUAACAUUUAAAAAAGAUGUAAGUAUUCUUAAAAAGUUAUGUACUGAAGUAAGUUGUUCUGGAUCGCUAAUUUUGAGUCAGUCCUCGCAAUCUGUAGUUGAUUUUAACCUUCCAAUUUUAAAUUCAACUUCAAGUGGCAAAGAACUCAUAUUGCCAAAUUUUCUGAUGAAUGCAAUUUCCAGCAAAGAAUUAAACUUCGAUGUUCCUG